rnacentral:tRNA from 1 species
GCCCCCAUAGCUUAGUGGUAAAGCUGUGGACUCUUAAUCCACUGACGAGGGUUCGAUUCCUUCUGGGGGCACCA